rnacentral:lncRNA from 1 species
GAACUGAAAUGUUACUGUGCAGCUGAGAACAUGACUUGUUCUGUGGUCACUGGUAUGGAACUGAAUAGGUUGCAUAUUUGUGCUCUGCACAGGUCUCUGAUGGAUUUGAGUGUCAUAUCUAAAACGGGUGCACUAACUUAACACUCUGGACGAGCCUGAGUCACUAGAACCAAUGUGGACUUUAUUGAAGUGGAACUGUAUUAACUUGGUAAAGACACAGAGUCACUCUGUGGCUGCUCUCAGACUCUCAGGAACUGCAGCUCCUGUGGGCUCUUGAUGAAAGUGCGCGGUGCUUGUGUUAGUGCUACUUCCUCGUUAAGUGUAAUUAUUUGGGGUUUUCUGAGUAACAUGAGGUGUAACUUUGCAGCCUAGGCAUUUAAUAUGUAAUGAUAAAGCCUUGUCUCCACUUAAAACUUACAGGUAUAGUUAGACACUUCCAUUUUGGAAACCAAGAAGAUGCCCAUGAAUUUCUUCAGUACACCACUGACGCUAUGCAGGAAGCAUGUUUGACUGGUAUUGAUGAAUAA